rnacentral:rRNA from 1 species
UACGAAGGGGGCUAGCGUUGCUCGGAAUUACUGGGCGUAAAGCGUGCGCAGGCGGUUCCGCAAGUCCGAUGUGAAAUCCCCGGGCUCAACCUGGGAACUGCAUUUGAAACUACGGGGCUAGAGUGUGUCAGAGGGGGGUGGAAUUCCACGUGUAGCAGUGAAAUGCGUAGAGAUGUGGAGGAACACCAAUGGCGAAGGCAGCCCCCUGGGAUGACACUGACGCUCAUGCACGAAAGCGUGGGGAGCAAACAGG